ACAUAUUUCCAAAAUAUCUGGGGGGGCUAUUACGGUUUCUGAAACGAGGUGAAAAUUACAAAAAACCGUGAUAGCCCCCCUGAGAAGGUGCAAUUGGUGUUGCAAAAGCGAAUUGGUAUUUAAUCAACGAGAUUCAGAGACGGAAGCACAAGUCCAGGAUGAUCCUUCCCGAGAAAGCAGUCUCCGUACUUCGUCUGGAACCAAGAUUCAUAACUCCAGCGAUUAGAACCUGUUCGUCUCUCUCUCUAGUCCCUUUUAACAGAUAGAAAUCAUACCCUAAGAAAUGCACGCCAUUAACGUCGCUGGUUUGAUUGACAAACGACUGCAUUUUUUAUUGCAGAAUCAUAAGGUCUUGAUAAAAUUCUUUAUCCUUAAGUUUUUCUACCAUUGGUUUAGAUAUGUUUCUAAUUGCGUCGAGUCUACAUGUAACCAACUAUCCGCAGGACUCAGCAUAAUUUUAUCAUGAGUUGCUUAAAAAAAAAACCAGUUUAGCUAAGUGCAAGAUUCAAUAAUGUGGAAAUUAUCUGUGUACUACUUGUUAAACAGUAAUUAAAAUAUGUAAAUAACAAA